UUUUGGGGAAGGCUUCAGGAAAUUUACAAUCAUGGCAGAAGGUGAUGGAGGAACAGACACAUCGCAUGGCCCAAGCAGGAGCAAGAUAGGUGAGGGAGGUGCUACAUACUUUUAUAUGACCAGAUCUCACAAUAAUUCACUCACUGAGUUUCAGGACAAAAGCCUGAAGCAAAAUCUAUGAAGAAUUUAAAAAUAAAAAAGUGUAACUGGACAUUGGAAACAAUAUGAAAUUGGCUAUAGAGAAGAUACUAAAACUGUGAAUAUUGAGCAAUGCACAUAAAUAAAUUAACAAUGUGUGUGUGAGAAUUACAAAGUAAUACAAAACUAUUAAACAUUAACUGAUUUUAUUCAAUAAAUAUUUAAGAGAGGGUUUGAAGA